rnacentral:rRNA from 1 species
CCUACGGGCGGCAGCAGUGGGGAAUAUUGCACAAUGGGGGAAACCCUGAUGCAGCGACGCCGCGUGAAGGAUGAAGUAUUUCGGUAUGUAAACCUCUAUCAGCAGGGAAGAUAAUGACGGUACCUGACUAAGAAGCCCCGGCUAACUACGUGCCAGCAGCCGCGGUAAUACGUAGGGGGCAAGCGUUAUCCGGAUUUACUGGGCGUAAAGGGUGCGUAGGUGGUGAUGAAAGUCAGAAGUGAAAGCCCUGGGCUCAACCCCGGGACUGCUUUUGAAACUGGGUUACUAGAUUGCAGGAGAGGUGAGUGGAAUUCCUAGUGUAGCGGUGAAAUGCGUAGAUAUUAGGAGGAACACCAGUGGCGAAGGCGGCUUACUGGACUGUAAAUGACGCUGAGGCUCGAAAGCGUGGGGAGCAAACAGGAUUAGAUACCCCAGUAGUC